rnacentral:rRNA from 1 species
GUCUACAGCCAUAGCCCCCUCAACAUGUCUGAUUUCUUUUGCUCUCAGAAGCUAAGGAGGGUUGGGCGUGGUUAGUGCUUGGAUGGGAGAAACACAGCCACAUUCUAGAUC